rnacentral:rRNA from 1 species
UACGUAGGGUGCGAGCGUUGUCCGGAAUUAUUGGGCGUAAAGGGCUCGUAGGCGGUCUGUUGCGUCAGGAGUGAAAACUCGGGGCUUAACCCCGAGACUGCUUCUGAUACGGGCAGACUAGAGGUAUGCAGGGGAGAACGGAAUUCCUGGUGUAGCGGUGAAAUGCGCAGAUAUCAGGAGGAACACCGGUGGCGAAGGCGGUUCUCUGGGCAGUACCUGACGCUGAGGAGCGAAAGUGUGGGGAGCGAACAGG